UUUGACUUUUCGUUUUAUUCAAAAAUUUUACGAUUAAUAAUUUUAUUUUUAUUAGAUGAUAAAACAUGAAUAGUACUUUAUGUGUGACUAAUUUUUUUAAAAAAUUUUUAAAAUUUUUUUAAAUAAGACGGAUGGUCAAA
rnacentral:pre_miRNA from 1 species